rnacentral:tRNA from 1 species
GCUUCCUUGGCUCAGUUGGUAGAGCGUUGGUCUCAUACACAAUCCAAAGGUCGCCAGUUCGAGCCUGGCAGGGAGCA